GUCCUGAUAGUAUAUAUAUUACGCUGGUCUUGUAAACCAGUAAUGAAAAAGCCUAUUUUCUCAGGAC
rnacentral:tRNA from 1 species